CACUACGUAUUCGACUCAUACCUGCAGAGGACAUUAGUGUAUAACCAAGAGGCCUUGCGAGGGCUGUCGCUGACCUUUUCCAGGUCGUGCACGCCCUCAUCAAUCCUCAUCCCAAUCCAUCUCACCUUUGUGCAUCACCGCGUGCGCUCCUUUUGAAAAACAAAAGGAGCUUGCGCUUUUACCACACAAACCCAUAGUACAAAAUGUCUUAUAUUUUUGUGAUCAUACAAUACAACUUUCAACAACGGAGCUCUUGGCUCGCGCAUCGAUGAAGAACGCAGCGAAAUGCGAUACGUAGGGUGAAUUGCAGAAUUCAGUGAAUCAUCGAAUCUUUGAACGCACCUUGCGCCCCUUGGCAUUCUGAGGGGCACACCCGUUUGAGUGUCAUGAAAUUCUCAACCUUUUUCCCUUUUAUUCUUCGAAUCGAGGGGGGGAAAGGCUUGGACUUUGGAGGCUUCUGCUGGCCCUCUCCCUCUUUUGAGGCCAGCUCCUCUUAAAUGAAUUAGUGGGGUUCCCUUUGCUGAUCCUCGACGUAUGAUAAAGCCAUUUCUACGUCUCUAGAGAGGCAAAGAGACCUGCUUCUAAUCGUCUCUUAGAGACAAUCUAUGAACCCUUUUGACCUCAAAUCGGGUGAGACUACCCGCUGAACUUAAGCAUAUCAAUAAGCGGAGGAAAAGAAACUAACAAGGAUUCCCCUAGUAACUGCGAGUGAAGCGGGAAAAGCUCAAAUUUAAAAUCUGGCGGUCUUUGGCCGUCCGAGUUGUAAUUUAGAGAAGCGUCUUCCGCGCUGGACCGUGUAAAAGUCCUCCUGA
rnacentral:rRNA from 1 species